rnacentral:lncRNA from 10 species
CUUACAGAAAUAAGUUGCAUAAUAGAUGCCAAGAUUUUCAUUAUUUCAAUAAAGACGCCACACCUGGAGCAUAAGCCAUGAUUAGCAUCACCACCUACGAAUGGUAUCAUGUUUUUAGGUUACAUGGCCAUGAGAUGCCACAUUUAGAACUUUGAACCGUAUUGGAAAUCACUCAGAGGUCCUGGAUUUGGGGUGGAUUCAUGAGCUGAAUGAACUUUUCCAGUUUUCUCCCUUGGAGGAUGGUGGCAAGAGCACUGUGCUUGUGAAUGGAAAGAAUACAUGAAGCCGGGCACAGUGGCUCACACCUGUAAUCCCAGCACUUUGGAAGGCCGAGGCGGGCAGAUCACCUGAGGUCAGGAGUUCAAGACCAGCCUGGGCAACAUGGAGAAACCCCGUCUCUACUAAAAAUACAAAAAUUAGCUGGGUGUGAUGGCACGAGCCUGUAAUCCCAGCUACCUGGGAGGCUGAGGCAUGAAAAUCUCUUGAACCUGGGAGGGGAGAUCGCGCCACUGCCCUCCAACUUGGGUGACAGAGUGAGGCUCCAUCUCAAAAAAAAGAGUACAUGAAAAGUUCCCAAAUCAUAAAUCAAAAAAAAUUGUUUGAAAGUUUAUUUACAACCAACAUCUCAUUUCCCCGUAAGUCUCCAUUUCUUCUCAUAUGCACUGCAGAUAACAAAACCAUUGUAAACUCUAUUUUUCUCCCCUUCUCACUGUGAUGUUUCAUAAGUAAAACCUAGAUUUUCCCAGUGCAGACCUCCAUUUUACUCUUGAAGACAUAGGUCUGGUAACUUGUGGCUAGGAAAAUGAGGAAUAGAAAAAUAAACAUUUUGAUGCCUGAUUGUUUGAUAUUUUAAACAAUUGAUUUUGAGAGUAUUAAUAUUUUUAAAAAGAUAGUAAAAAAUGGAAUUUAUGUGUGCCAAAUCAUUUUUGUAAUCAGGCCUUCUUACACACACAAUAAUAUACACACAUGCACUUAUAUACACAGUUCUAGUUUUUGUUCCUGUGUUGUUUACUAUGGCAUUAAGAUAUAAUCAAAAUAAAUGAUUUGAAUGUCCAUGAAGAGAGAUGAUUGACUAAGUCACUAGUCACGGGAUGCAUUUUCAUUACCUAUUAAAAGAUUUAUGUUACAUAAAAAUAAUUUAUCAAAAAACCAGUAGGGACUCAUUGGGGAAAAAAGUAUCACCUGUAUGCAUAAUUUGUAGAUAUUUGUGAGAGACUGUACCAAAUUUUUACUUGAGAUUUAAAAUUAAGUUCAUACACUUUUUAAUAUUUCACUUACUGUAAUUGCAUGUGUUACAUUGACAUUUAAAUGUAAACUUCCAGUAAAAAGAAAAAUAAGAAAGUAAGUUAAUAAAUGAGUGUAUGUGUUGGAAGGGAAAGGAAUUUUGAGAGCAGUCUGAGCUCUCUGCUGAUCUCUUGGUCUAACACAAUGGAAUGGGAUGUGCACCCGUGGAGUAAAUCUUUGGACCUACCUCACCUAGCACACAUAACACAUUAGGAAUUAAUCACAACAGUUCUGGUCCAGAUAAUAUAUCAUGAUCCAUAUUUGAAUACAAAAUCUUUCUUCCCAUAUUAGUAGGGUGUAGAAUAUGAGAAUUGCACCAAUGCCUUGAGAUUUUAGCAAAUAUUAAUAACAAGAGGUCUGGGAUUUUGGUACUUGGCACCCUAGGCUGACCUCAGCAUUAUCAAGGUGAGUAUUUGUGCCAGUAACUCAAGUGGUUUUGAGAGCAGCAGAUAAAAAACAUAGUGGAUAUAUGUAAUAGCUAACAAGACUUUUGUGUGAACACGAGGGAUCUUCAAGAGGUACUGCAAAAUAAUUAGAUGUGUGUGUUUGUGUAUUGCUGUGUGCCUGUUGGUGUGUGCAUCAGUGUGUUUUAGUGGAAAUGAAAAUUUCACAAUACUAUGUGAGGACAAGUGUCAGUGAAAUUAAGAACUAUGAAGUUAAUCAACACAAACCAAUUUCGAACUCUCAGUGGGUAGGCCUAGGAAACAUUGUUCACAAAUGUAAAAUUGAUUUGAUUGAAUUUUUACUUGAAAAAGAAAUGUUGCUUUUAUUAUAAAAUGAUUCUGUUCAAUAGAAAAGAGAAAGGAAGUGAAUUCCUUUACACAUUGAAAAAUUUUAGUUAUUACUAUUUACCUGGCACUUAAUUCCUUAAUCUCUAAGUUAUUACUAUAUUGAUUUAAAUAUUAUUAUACAAUUGUGUAGAUUUUAGAAAUUCUUCAACUUUGAAAUAUAGGAAAUUCAUCAAUGGAAAAGCCCAGAGCUGAUAGAAAUUUUCAUUAGAAUCAACCUUAUUUAAUUUCUAUUUGAGUUUCUACUAUUUGCUUUGCACUGAGUUGGGAGCUCAUUAUCCAGUAGAAUGCACCAGACAGGGUAGGCUGUUAUACAAACUGGAAAACAGCACCAUCAGCAUUCACGGGGAGAUCCCAGCAAAGUGUGUGAGGUCAGGAAAGACUACUUUCAGGAAUGGCCUUUGAGAUGAGGCAUGAGUGAUGGGCAAUUGUGGAGGAAGAGUGCUCCAGGUAAAUGAACUAUCAUUUGAGAAACACAAAGGAAUAAAAAAUGUGUGAGGCACAGGGAGGGGCAAGGAUAAAAACAAGGAACAAGGAAGAAGAACCUUGGGUCAUGGAGGCCAUACUGAAGUCACUGUUCUCCUUCAUAAAAGCAAAAUACAGACCCUGAAGAGAGGGAGAGAGAGAGAGAAACUCUGUGUGUGUGUGUGUGUGUGUGUGUGUGUGUGUGACAGAGAGAGAGAAAGAGAGCGUAGCGUGUGUGUGACAUAGAGAGAGAGAGACAGAGACAGAGAAAUUGAAAUAUAAUACAUAGUGUAUUAUAGGUUCUCGACUAAUUUUCCCAAGCAUCUCUUUGAGCUGCUGGGGAAAUACGUAUAAAAGUUUGUCCCAAGAGAGAGAAAAAAAAGUUUCUGUGUGAGGAAAAAGAAUUUAAAAACCACACAAACACCAUACACAGGGUAAGCGAUACAAGAAUGAUGAUUCUUUUAAUGACCAACAUAAGUAAAGAUAAAGAGAUUAUGCGAAAUACAGGAAAGUAUCUAGUAUUGCUGUCAGAGAGAAAACUGCAUGAAAUAUGUAUUUCAUAGUUCUAUUGUUUAAAUACAUCUUAUCUAUGUGAUUUAGAAAUAAGCAUUUAAACUACAGUGUAACAACUUGCGAGUUAUUUUGGUCUUGAGGGUGCAUGUGUCUUAAGAAGUUGCCAAUGUUAUGCAUUCCACUUUACUGCUUGUGAGGCUUAGAGCAAAUUAUCACAUUUGCUUAGAGCAAAUUGAUUUUUUCAUUCAUAUUAAUAGUAUCUAUUUAAUAAAUUUGAUUUAAUGAUUAGACAUAUUUUAAGAAAAAUGCACAUUACGUAGGAGGCACUUGGUGUAUGUCAGGUGUACUAUUGCUUUAUUAAUUAAAAAAAUAUUUUUCCUAGUACUGUCUUGAUCUGAGUGGUAUAAUUACUUCUUAUGCAUAAACAUAGAGAAUGAAAAUUUUGCAGAGAUGUUAUCAUUUUAUCCCACUACUUUUCCUUACAUGUUUUAUAAAACUGUAUAAAAUAUUUAUUUUAUCACUCUACUGUUUAAAUACAUCUUAUCUAUGUGAAUUAUGAAUAUGCAUUUAAACUAAACACUGUAACAACUUGUAAAUCAUUUUGGUCUUCAGGGCACAUGUGUCUUAAGAAGUUGCCAAAAAAAUGCAUAAGGCUUUUCUAGCAUCUCAGGUGAAAUUAGGAAUAUUUAAUUACAUGUCAUUGAACAUUAACAAAAUAAUGUAAAGGUAUGCCAUGCAAAAUGCACUUAAAUUGUAUUCUUGCUUUAUAUAGAACACAAUAUCCAAAUAGGGAAAACUGCUUAAAUUAACCAAGUAACUAGCAUUCAUGUAUCAUAACAUUUAUUUUUCCUAUUUAUUGUUUGGAAUUAGAAGUUUUCUCAUAGUAUAAAAAUGUUAAAUCAUAGUGAUUUUGCUUUUGCAUGUGGAAACAUAAUCAGAAUCUCUAACUACCAACAAAGAUCAAAAGUGCCAUUUUCUCUCAAAAGUCUACAUAUGUUUGUAAGGAGGGAAUUUUCAUGAAGGCAUGAAUUUUAC